UCGUUGCCUUUCGGAAAACACGACCGUUGCACAUGUGACAGAAUGCUGCCGGGGAGGUGCCUGCUGCCUCCUCGGCCCCACCGGCCUCUUCCCUCUCGCCCUUCGGGCGCGUUGGUCGCCGGCCGGAAUACGGCGCGGGAUGACGCCAAGGAACACGAGAAAGCUGAGGCGCCGGCGAGCUGCUCAAUGGUUGCGCCGGUUGCCAAGGCCAACGAAAAAAGUACGACUCUCGGCAACGGAUAUCUCGGCUCUCGCAUCGAUGAAGAACGUAGCGAAAUGCGAUACGUGGUGUGAAUUGCAGAAUCCCGCGAACCAUCGAGUCUUUGAACGCAAGUUGCGCCCGAGGGACCCUCCCGAGGGCACGCCUGCCUCAUGGGCGUUAGAAGCCCAUCCACGCUCGGUUGCCCCUUGGCAAAGAUGCGUAAAUUGGCCCUCCGAACCGCGAGGUGCGGUGGGCCCAAGUGUGCGGUCGUCGUAUGUGGCCGGGAGCGGCGAGUGGUGGGCUACUGCGCACGUCGCCCCGAGCUCCGUACCGGCACAGGGCCUUGUUUGACCCCCUAACGAGGAGCAUGCCGCCGCGGCCUGUGCUGCGCGGCACCUUCGGACC
rnacentral:rRNA from 1 species